AUGGCUGAGAUGGUCAAGUCGGUCAUUGUUGGGGAAGCAGUUAGCCGGAUUAUUUCGGGUAUUGCCCCCACCAGCAAAGACGAGGACAAAGCAGAUGAAGAAGCAUCAGGAGGUGGUGGGCUAGAGAGGCUGGAGAUGGCGCGCAUCAAAAUGGAGGCCGCAGUCCAAACGUCCAACAAGUGGCAGAUCACCGACACGUCGCUCCUCCGUUGGCGAAAGAAGCUCAAGCGCACUGUUCAGGACUGUGAUGACGUAGCGCGCAGAUGCAGGCAACUUUCUCGGGAAGAAGACGAGGCGGAGCGGGUGGUAAGGAAAUCCUCAUUUCCUAGACGGAUGGCUCAUGCGACCAAGGUGUUCAUCUCCUCUUUCGUUGGCCACGACAAUGGUCAUCGCUCUGCGGGGAGUGCCACCACCGCUGUUGUUCGAAGAUUCGAGAGGCUUGCGGACGGUGCUGAUGAAUUUAUCAGGUAUGUGCAGAUCGGCGGGACACCACGUCAGAACCUGUUCUUUGACCCUCUCAUUGGGCAUCUCUUCACGGGCAAAAUGAUUGCUUAUCAGUUGUUGCGUCCUGGAGGUCAGUACCAAUACUUCCGCAUAGGGCCAAUCAAUUUCCAGGAGCGUGGGUUGGAGGCCUUUCUAUCCUUCAUGUACGAAGAUUGUAAGGUGCCCAAGAACAGUUUUUGCCUAGGGGUCAUGCUGCGUCUGUCUGAGAGUACAGACAUAAUUGGAACCGUUGUCAAGUGCUUGCGAGUUAUGACACCUCACUUCAACUCUAUGACCGACGUUGUUAUCAAGGAGAUCACCCAUCUCCCUACGCAGGAUUUCUCCUGUGUUGCACACGAGAAACACUGGGUUCACGUCCAUAGAACUUUGACUGAAUGGUUCCGUCCAGAUCCAUUAUGUUGUCAAGGAUUUGAACACGAUGUUGUGCCUUCUUUCCAUAGUGGCAGCGACAUCAGUAAUGGAAGCGGAAAUAAAUUGAAGUUUUCGAGUAUAUUUCCUGAACCAGUCUGCCAAGUGUUUUUCCAGUGUCACACCUCACCAUCGGAGUACAGAAACCUUCCAGGAUCAACCGUAUUUGCUGGUCAUGACGAUAAUUCAUCUUUGGAGAACUCCCAACCAUUGAAGUUUGGAAUACUACUCAUGCCUCAUGCUUCUUUAGAGGACCCUAAGUCUAUUGGUUCCACAAUAGAAGUGAUCGAUACAGAGAAUCGACGCAACCUCACACAUGUAAAUGUUCAUAUGGACCAACUCGACGACAUGAUGAUGCCCAAGGCGAUAGACUAUCUUCAUCUUAAUGCCAAGGCUAUGUCGUACCAGGUAUGCUGGAGGUCUAACCAUGGCAGUGCUCACCUAUGCGUGGAGAAGACAAGUGCGGAAAGAAAGCAUGGAGCACGCAGAGCCACACGACAAGAGAGGCUAGAGAUGGCGCGCAUCAAAAUGGAGGCCGCCCUCCAGACGUCCAACAAGUGGCAAAUCACUGACACCUCGCUACUCCAUUGGCGAAAGAAGCUGAAGUGCGCUGCCCAGGACUGCGACGAUGCAGCACACAGAUGCAGGCAACUUUCUCGUGAAGAGGACGAGGCAGAGCAGGUGGUAAGGAAAUCCUCAUUUCCUAGACGGGUUGCUCAUGCCACCAAGGCAUUCAUUUCCUCUCGUGUUGGCCGCAACAAUGAUGAUUGCUCUAUGGGCAGUGCCACCGUUCAAAGAUUCGAGAGGCUCGCGGAUGGUGCUGGUGAAUUUAUGAGAUAUGUGCAGCUUGGGUCACCACGACAACACCUAUUCUUUGACCCUCUCAUUGGGCAUAUCUUUGCAGGGAAAUCGUUGUUGUAUCAUGUGUUGGACCCAGGAGGCCAGUUACAUAUAUUCGUUAUACGCUCAAUGAGCUUCAAGGACAGAGGGUUA
rnacentral:rRNA from 1 species